rnacentral:rRNA from 1 species
UACGGAGGGUGCAAGCGUUAUCCGGAUUCACUGGGUUUAAAGGGUGCGUAGGUGGGUUUGUAAGUCAGUGGUGAAAUCUCCGUGCUUAACAUGGAAACUGCCAUUGAUACUAUAGGUCUUGAAUUUUCUGGAGGAUAGCGGAAUAUGUCAUGUAGCGGUGAAAUGCUUAGAUAUGACAUAGAACACCAAUUGCGAAGGCAGCUAACUACGCGAUCAUUGACGCUGAUGCACGAAAGCGUGGGGAUCAAACAGG